AAUCCCCUGAACCACCAAAGAAAAUCAAAAUCUCUCACGAAGUGGAUAUCUUCUUUUCCAAAUAUCUGAGGAAGCCUAUAUUCCAAGAAUACACUCUUUUUGUUGACAUAGAGGGUUUUCCUGUAAGCUAUGAGAAUUACUUAAAUUCAUUUAAAGCGAGGGGUGAGAUUGGAGAUGAAGUGAUGAACUCAUUUAUUCAAGUUCUUAACUAUGAAUCAAAGAUGUCAUCUGAAGUAAAGCCUUACGUGAAGAAGUACUGUUUCACUUCGUACUUCACUAAUAAAUUGUUGGUUCCACCUGAGUUAUUUGAUCCAGUUUCAUGCAUACGAGAAUUUGACAGGAUUAAUUCAGAAGAAAGCCUUUGGAAGCAAGACUUGG